UAUGAUUUCUGAAUUUCUGAUGUUGAGGCAAUGAGGCUUGGUAACUUCAAACUUGUAAGUUGCUGCCCUUGAUGAGUUUUUGGCCCCUAACC